GUAUGCAAGACUUGACAAAGCUGAUGAGGGGCCAGAUGGGCCUCGCUCUUAUGGUUUUUUUUUCUUCUUCUUCUUCUUCUUCCUCUCUCUCUCUCUCUCUCUGUCUCUCUCUCUCUCGUCUCUCUUCCUUUCCCCCCUCCACCACUUGGGACCUGAGCGAGAGGACUGCAGCAGGCGAGUUCCGGAAGGCUGAAUCCCCAGGUCCCAGCCCCGGACCGCGGCAACUCGCCCCUGCGGCACGCCCGGCCCGGCUGCGCCCCCACUCAGCGAUGGAGGAAAAAGCCUGGAUGCGAAAGGAUGGGGGAGAACAAAGAGCCUUUGGAAGACGUCGCUGUUAUCUCAUUGUCUGUGUGAUUGGGGGAGCUGCGGCGGGGAGGAUGCUGUGGUCCCUUCCUCCGGCGUUCCCCACCCCCAUCCCUCUCCCCGCUGUCAGUGCGCACGCACACGCGCCGCUUUUUAUUUCUUUUUCCUGGUUUUCUUAUUCCAUCUUCUACCCACCCCUCUUCCUUUCUUUCACCUUUCCUUCCUUCCUUCCUCCUUUCCUUCCUCAGGAGAAAGGCCUCUCUCUCCGUGUUCACAGCGGACCUUGAUUUAAAUGUCCAUACAAUUAAGGCACGCGGUGAAUGCCAAGAAUGGGGCUGGCUGAGCACCGUGGGUCGGCGAGGGCCCGCCAAGGAAGGAGCGACCGACCGAGCCAGGCGCCCUCCGCAGACCUCCGCGCAGCGGCCGCGGGCGCGAGGGGAGGGGUCUGGAGCUCCCUCCGGCUGCCUGUCCCGCACCGGAGCCCGUGGGGUGGGGAGGUGUGCAGCCUGUGACAGACAGGGGCUUAGAGAUGCAAACAGACUCAGGGAGAGAAACAGAAGCUGAUUCUGUGACAGAAGCAGAUCUGUGCAGCACAGAUGCGGUGUGCGUGGGGAGGGGGUCGCCUGGGAGCGCAUUGCGGAGUGCUUGUGUGUGCAGAUUUUUCUCUGGGCUCAGGACUCAUUGUAUGUGGGUCAACACCUUCCUCCGUGACUGUGUUUUUGUUCUGAGCUGAGUUUUUUGGUUUGCCCUUAAAAAAAUAAUAAUUUGGCAUCCAGAGACUGGCAGACUGCCUCAGGGCCUGGACUGCGGAUAUAUUGUGUUCUGCUUGAGGUUUGGGGAGGAGGGCAGGCGGUAGGAAGGGAGAGGGGGAGCUGUUUGUCACACUUUGCUGUAGAGCUGAGAGCACCUGACAAGCUUAAGGAAGUCGUUGGGCUAUGUGGACAAGAAGGAGCCAGCUCCCAGCGGGUUCACAAGCUCUAUCGGAGUUGAAAGCGUGGUCAUGGCUCUAAGGAGCACCUCACGCCCUCCCUGUAGCUGUUAUUGCAGUUUCAGGCAGAGAUCCAGGAGCUGCAGAGGAAGGGAGAGGCACAAUAACCUACAUGGACCCAAGGGAGACAUGUGUUCCUUUAAAAAUGUGAACAGAAGGAAAAACAGAAUGUGUGCAACUGGGGGUCUGAGGAAAGACUGUUUUGAAAGAGGCUGUCAGGGAAUGGAAAGGGUUAAGCUUUUCAUCCUGAAGAACCUGCUUCCCAAAUCAGGCCUUCCUCCCAUCACUAGACCCUGAGCAGCAGCUGGUCCUAGAGACCCCCCUCGUACUGCGCUGCCACAGUCUCAUCCCAUUUCCAGCUCUGUAUUAACCACCAAGCUGCAGCGGAUGGGGCAAGACCUAAGCUCAUUAAUUUCCAGGUGGAGGAAAUGGAGGAGGGGCAGGUCCCUGCAGUAGAGGGAGGAGCAGAGAAAGGAGGCCAAGAGCUGGAUCCUUCUGCCCAGGAAGCCUGCUGCAUCCCUUCCCCCGAGCAUGGCAGAGGCCUGGCUUUGCAAGGCCAAGGCCAUAAGGGAUGCUUAGGAGAUUAAUUUGAUUCCUGACACAAUAAUCAAGCCCUAAGAGUCUCCACUGAAGCUUACUGAGGACUUCUUUCCUCUCCAAAGCCUCAGUCUAGCCUGCUAAAUAAAUUAGUAUUCAGUGAUGCCUUGGAUCAGGGCCCCUCCCCGGCCUCAGUUUCCCCAAAUAUUUAUUAAGUACCUACUGUGUGCAAUCCUUGUGUAAUUAUUAACUCUUAGGCUCUUCAUUUGCCCUCCUAAAGCAGUGUUUAGAGUCAGGCAGAGGUUAAGUGUGUUGCACCUCACCUAGAUACUUCCAGAACCUUCUCUGGGUCUGCAGAAUGUGGCACAACCUGCUUGCCCCCGCAGAGAGAAAGCUGCAGUGCACAUCCUGCAGACUGCAGGUGCUGGGCUGCCUCUGGAGUCCCAGAAGGCAAGCUUGGCUGCAGGACAGAAAGGGAGAACAGCUUCUCUCACCCCUGAGCCUUCACAAGCCCUUGUCUAUUUGCCGUUGCCUUCAAAAUAUACCUCCCCCGAAACCAGUAGCUUUCUGAGUCCUGGUGUCCCCUCCGCCCUUUCUGGACAGGUUUGGGAAGAAGAAAGCAGUCAGUGCUGGGCCUUAUUGGGGUGUGAAGCGCCUUGCUCUGCCCCUUCUGCUCACUGUGAAGGCCGCUGGAUGCUUCUCUUAGGCAUGGUUUAAGCCUCCGAUUACUAAACCCCUUGCCCCACAAACGUCCACAUUGACGAGCCUCUUUUUAGUAACUGCUUCCCCGUAAUUCCUUCAGAGGUUGCUGUACCCUUCGCUGAUGUGCUGCCCUCCUGUAAAACCUCCAGAUGCCUUCCCACGUAAUGCCCCUUUCAGAUGCUUUAAGCUGAGAGCUUAAACCACAGGUACCAUGGCUGACGCCUGCCAGGUUUCUGCUGCAGAUAAUCUAUGAUGGGAGGGGCAUAUUUUUUACUUCAUUACUUAUGUAAACUCUUGUUCCAGAAAGCUUUAAUGUGUGUGGGAGUGUUCUGGGUCUAUUAGGUCUGUGCGCAUGGGUGUGGGCAUUUGCCUGUGUCCACCGGGUGGGUCUCAUUAUGAAAUGUAUGUUUAUGUAGGGCUUUAAUGGCUGAAAAUGGCAAAGAGAUGAAUAGACCACUUGGCCCCAUGUGUAAUUGCCAGGCCCCUUCUGUGCUCAAAUGAGGUGUCCGAGUGAAGGUCAGCCCUUCCCUUCUGUAUUUGGGGCCUAUUUAUGCCACCAGUAAUUUUAUAAGAAAUCUGAAUAGUUCUCCCCUUUGAGUGCAUUUAACUCUUUAGUAUCUUCUCUCUUACCUAUUUGAGCCCCUCUAGCUACAGUCUGGCUUAAAUGAAAGGGGAAUUAUAUGCUUAAGAAAAAGUAGGACACGGUUGAGGCAGUUUGCUGACUGAAUACGCGAAGAAGGACCUGAUGGGCUCAUAUGCACCACUGCCAUCACAGUCCCCAUCGUGAUGCAAGCUUAUAUGAUUCUUGAGAAACAGCCCAGAUCUCCUCUUAAGCGGAAAAGAGAUUGACCUUCUAGCAGAGGCAAAGAAUGGAGUCUUCUGGGGGCAGCUGCAAAGCGUUCUCCCUAGGACAGAUGGAGCCUCCCUUUCCUCAUCUACUCUGUGGGUGGUUUCAGGGCCCACGAGUCAACAUGAGGAGUUGUGCUGGUGGUAUGUGUGUUGGAGGCUGGGCUGGCUGAUUCACAGUGACGAGGAUGUCAAUAAUAACAAGAAUGAGAAUGAUGAAAAUGUAUUCAAUACUUAAUUGCAUCACAAAUGUAGACAUAGAAGAAAGGACUUCAAACGGAAUUUAUGGGAGGCAAUGUGUGCGGCUUUUUGCCUUAUAGAGCUGUGUAGAAGGUCUGGAAUGAUCUUCCAGCACCAAAUUUAGAUGGCCUCAAAAAAAAAAAAAAAAAAAAAAAAAUCAGGCCUUAUUGAGGGCAAGGAAUGUUCCAGGUCAGAAAUAAAAGUGUCAGCAACUCUCAAUAGGUUCAUCUUUUUAUUUCCUGUCCUUCUCCCUUUUGUCUUAAAAUAGAAACGCUACCAAGACCUGAGGGCCUGGGUCAGGGGCCGGGAAGCCCAGAAAACAAACUUCCAGAAUCACUAAGGGCUUUCUCUCUCAAAAUUACAGUGGGAGGGUUCUUUUGAAAUUCAAAUCCAACCUAUUUGUUGCUUAAGCACACACAAAAUACUGAGACCUGGGGUCCAAGAGGCAAUACUUCCGCUGCAAGUGCAUGUUGCAACUUCGCGUGAUGUUCCCAGGGCGGUUCUGCGGCAACUUGCGGCUCCGCGACUGUGGGCGCGGGCCCCAUUUCGGGCCCCGUCGGCCGGGACCGCGCCCAGGGCUUCUCAAGUGACUCGCUUCCCAGCACGCAAGAGGCAUUCUCGUCUCUUUCUCUUCGAAUGCACCCGAGACUUCUCCAUGAAGCAAGGAGAAGAUGAGCAGGCGCUGGUUUCCCUUUUCUUUUUUGCUCCCAUUUCCCAGUCUUGAUUUUUUUUUUCCCUUUCUCUCUCUCUCCCGAAUCAUGCAGACCUGGAACUCCUAAGAUUCGGGUCCUCCUGCAGUUCCCAAAGCUUUGGAUCCAUCCGAGGUGUGGGUAGAUGCGGGUUAGUCUCAGGGUCUUUCUAGGAUGAGCCCCAAGCCCAAGUUCUAAGGCGAGGGGGAGGCGAAGAGGUCAGGGCUACAAACGCCAGGGACUGUCCCCGGAGAGGUCAUUUUUCCAUUUUCCAUGCACAUCGAUUUCACUCUAGCGCCAGAUGGACACUCGACGGUCAACGUUAGAGAUUUUUCCGGAGUCGGGGGCAGGAAGCGGGACGAAUUGAGACGAGGGUACAUCCUUUGCUUCCAAGGGUGGCCGAGCCAGACCGAAGGCCUGGGCGGGAGGUCACGUCCUCCCCUGGCCACCCACAGCGCUCCCCAGCCGCAGGCCUGGGCCUAGAAGCCGCGCCCUCCCGGCCGUGCAGCCGGUCAGCCUGUGCGCCCGGCGCCCGCAGUGCGGCUCCGGGCCUCUCUCUGAUCCACUUCAGUACCUGCGGCCUCGAGGACCCCACCGUGCAUCCCGGAAAGCCUCAGAACUUGCAAGAAAGAGGGGCUGGCAGGUGCAGCCUGGGAAGAGGACCCCGCCGCGAAAGCGCUUGGGGGUUGGGUUUUAUUUGCUGGAGUGGGGGGUCCGUCUCAGUGCAUCCUCCUGGAUUCCCCAUUAGGACGCCCCGCCCAUACAUCCAGCCUCCUCUCCCGGAUACCCCCAGUGACCCGGCCAGGGAGCGGGCAUCUUCCCCCAGGACCCAGAGACGUGUCCUCGCCAUCCCCAAACACCGUCCUUCCCCACCCCCGCAACCCUCUCCACAGAAGCCAAAACCACAACAAAAAUCUUCAACCCACAAAGAAAAAGACACAUUCCUCCUUCGGCCUUAGUCAGCGUUAGUUCCAGAUCCGAAGCCGGAGGGGACGGAGCCGCUCGAAGUCGGUUGGAAGGAAGGCGCAGAAGGCUCUUUCUGUCUCCAUGAAUCUCCUUGCAAAUGCAACCGCUGCUGCCAUUAGGACGCGGUCUCUGUUUGCAAAAAAAACUCAAUUCCUUCCAUUUCCUCAUCUGUUGGGUCCAUCAGCGUGCAGUGAGUGAUGCAAGGUCCCUUUGGGUCAACAGGCCGUCCCCUGAAAUAACUUUCAGAGCCCUGGCCUCAAGGUCAUGGGCCGGGUGGCCUCUACAGGCCACAGGUCAGGACCAGGAUGUGCCUGACUGAGGCUGUGCCACCGAGAGCUUCGGACGUGCAGAAAGGUGCCCUGAGCUGCACGGGGGGCUUCUGUCAGCCCCCUCCCACUCUACACAGAUUGAUGUGGCAAUAUUUAUUCCCAUUUAAUUGAGACACUGGUUUAAUUUCAGAUUGCUUCGGCUUAAGGCCCAAUGGGGUUUUCUGCAGCUCUUUUCCCCAGUGCCUCUACAGAAAUUAAUUGCUGUUAAUAUCCAAUUUUGGCUUUAUUAUUCGUUAGCCAAUUAUGUAUCCCAUAGCCCAGGCCCCUUGCUGCUCUCAGCCUUUGCUGGAAUCAGCUCACACUAUGCCGGGCUUCUGCUUUUCUGCCUUCCCCUCUAUUCAAACUCUGUCCUCCCAAGAUGAUUUACCGGCCCGUCAGGCAUUUUGCUUGUGUCCCAGCGCUAGCUGAGCUGGCGGAGGUGUCUUUAAGACGUUUUCCCCCUUUUGAGGGAAAUGUCUUCUUUGCAGUGGACAUAAUUUCCAUUUAAAAAGGAAUCUAAGCUUCUCCACUCUCGCUUCACUAUCCUAAGAUUUGCUUUCUCUGGAGCCAUUUUUGGAGAGCAGUUUUCCAUCAAAAGCAAGCAAGGUGCCCCGGCAUCAGGGCUCCCCUCCCCACCUCCCUAGGAGCCCCUCCGAGACUGUCUUAAAGCCACCACAUAUACAUAACACCAUAGAUUCAAACAGGGUGCUUGGAGGAUGUCAUUCCACAUUUCAAGGAGGGAAACUUGAAAAAGCACUAUUUUCAGAGAUGAGGAGGGCAGCUCUCCCCUCGUCCCCCACAGAGGCCCUGGAAACCAUUCCAGCCUUGCACUGCGCAACCCUGCUUGAUGGAGCUGAUGCAACUGGGGGCGAGAGCCUUUAAAAAGUGUUCUUUUGCCUUGGUUUUUUGUGCCUUGAGUUCACAGAAGCAAACACUUCCCAUCACUGGUGCUCUGGAAACAGAAACAUACAAGUGAGAAUCCUAACGACAGCAGAGGCCCUUCUUUGUCUGCUUCCUCUCCUUCCCCCCUUGGAAAGAAUGCCUCCCAUGCCUUAAUGUGCCCUCACACUUAUCUCUAGCAGUUCCGUAACAACCUGCGCAGUGUC
rnacentral:lncRNA from 1 species